rnacentral:rRNA from 1 species
UACGUAGGGUGCAAGCGUUGUCCGGAAUUAUUGGGCGUAAAGAGCUCGUAGGCGGUUUGUUGCGUCGGCUGUGAAAUCCCGAGGCUCAACCUCGGGUCUGCAGUCGAUACGAGCAAACUAGAGUGUUGCAGGGGAGACUGGAAUUCCUGGUGUAGCGGUGAAAUGCGCAGAUAUCGGGAGGAACACCAGUGGCGAAGGCGGCGAUCUGGGCAGAUACUGACGCUGAGGUGCGAAAGCGUGGGGAGCAAACAGG